rnacentral:rRNA from 1 species
AUUGAACGCUGGCGGCAGGCCUAACACAUGCAAGUCGAACGAGUGGCGGACGGGUGAGUAAUGUCUGGGAAACUGCCUGAUGGAGGGGGAUAACUACUGGAAACGGUAGCUAAUACCGCAUACCAUCAGAUGUGCCCAGAUGGGAUUAGCUAGUAGGUGGGGUAAUGGCUCACCUAGGCGACGAUCCCUAGCUGGUCUGAGAGGAUGACCAGCCACACUGGGACUGAGACACGGUCCAGACUCCUACGGGAGGCAGCAGUGGGGAAGAUUGCACAAUGGGCGCAAGCCUGAUGCAGCCAUGCCGCGUGUAUGAAGAAGGCCUUCGGGUUGUAAAGUACUUUCAGCAGGGAGGCGUUACCCACAGAAGAAGCACCGGCUAACUCCGUGCCAGCAGCCGCGGUAAUAC